CCUACGGGAGGCAGCAGUGGGGGAUAUUGCACAAUGGGGGAAACCCUGAUGCAGCGACGCCGCGUGGGCGAAGAAGUAUUUCGGUAUGUAAAGCCCUAUCAGCAGGGAAGAAGAAAUGACGGUACCUGAGUAAGAAGCACCGGCUAAAUACGUGCCAGCAGCCGCGGUAAUACGUAUGGUGCAAGCGUUAUCCGGAUUUACUGGGUGUAAAGGGAGCGCAGGCGGCACGGCAAGCCUGAUGUGAAAGCCAGCGGCCCAACCGGAGGACUGCAUUGGGAACUACCGGGCUGGAGUGCCGGAGAGGUAGGCGGAAUGCCUGGUGUAGCGGUGAAAGGCGUAGAUAUUAGGAGGAACACCAGUGGCGAAGGCGGCCUACUGGACGGUGACUGACGCUGAGGCUCGAAAGCGUGGGGAGCAAACAGGAUUAGAUACCCCUGUAGUC
rnacentral:rRNA from 1 species